rnacentral:lncRNA from 1 species
GUAGCCUUCAGCAACCACGGUACCGACACAGACAAGAGCUUUUACUAUGUGAACCCAACAACUGGUGUUGUUGUGUUGCUGAAAGACUUGAGAUCGACUGACCGCACAUCAUUUGAGAUCCCAGUGCAAGUUUCUGACGGCCGUGGAAAAACUGGUGAUGCCAUUGUUAGGAUAACAGUGACAAAGAACAGUGGCCCACCUGUGUUCAGCAAUACACCAUAUGAAACUAGAAUCCCAGUCACACAGCCUGUUGGAACUCGUGUACUCUUGCUCUCCGUCAAUGAUCCUGAUCGCGUGGGAACCAUUGUUUGCCAACUUUAGGGGUACGAACCUGGACAU